GUGAACUCGAAGAGUAGGGCGGGACACGUGGUAUCCUGUCUGAAUAUGGGGGGACCAUCCUCCAAGGCUAAAUACUCCUGACUGACCGAUAGUGAACCAGUACCGUGAGGGAAAGGCGAAAAGAACCCCGGCGAGGGGAGUGAAAAAGAACCUGAAACCGUGUACGUACAAGCAGUGGGAGCACCUUCGGGUGUGACUGCGUACCUUUUGUAUAAUGGGUCAGCGACUUAUAUUCUGUAGCAAGGUUAACCGUAUAGGGGAGCCGCAGGGAAACCGAGUCUUAACUGGGCGUUAAGUUGCAGGGUAUAGACCCGAAACCCGGUGAUCUAGCCAUGGGCAGGUUGAAGGUUGGGUAACACUAACUGGAGGACCGAACCGACUAAUGUUGAAAAAUUAGCGGAUGACUUGUGGCUGGGGGUGAAAGGCCAAUCAAACCGGGAGAUAGCUGGUUCUCCCCGAAAGCUAUUUAGGUAGCGCCUCGUGAACUCAUCUUCGGGGGUAGAGCACUGUUUCGGCUAGGGGGUCAUCCCGACUUACCAACCCGAUGCAAACUACGAAUACCGAAGAAUGUUAUCACGGGAGACACACGGCGGGUGCUAACGUCCGUCGUGAAGAGGGAAACAACCCAGACCGCCAGCUAAGGUCCCAAAGUCAUGGUUAAGUGGGAAACGAUGUGGGAAGGCACAGACAGCCAGGAUGUUGGCUUAGAAGCAGCCAUCAUUUAAAGAAAGCGUAAUAGCUCACUGGUCGAGUCGGCCUGCGCGGAAGAUGUAACGGGGCUAAACCAUGCACCGAAGCUGCGGCAGCGACACUAUGUGUUGUUGGGUAGGGGAGCGUUCUGUAAGCCUGCGAAGGUGUGCUGUGAGGCAUGCUGGAGGUAUCAGAAGUGCGAAUGCUGACAUAAGUAACGAUAAAGCGGGUGAAAAGCCCGCUCGCCGGAAGACCAAGGGUUCCUGUCCAACGUUAAUCGGGGCAGGGUGAGUCGACCCCUAAGGCGAGGCCGAAAGGCGUAGUCGAUGGGAAACAGGUUAAUAUUCCUGUACUUGGUGUUACUGCGAAGGGGGGACGGAGAAGGCUAUGUUAGCCGGGCGACGGUUGUCCCGGUUUAAGCAUGUAGGCUGGUUAUCCAGGCAAAUCCGGAUAAUCAAGGCUGAGGUGUGAUGACGAGGCACUACGGUGCUGAAGUAACAAAUGCCCUGCUUCCAGGAAAAGCCUCUAAGCAUCAGGUAACAUCAAAUCGUACCCCAAACCGACACAGGUGGUCAGGUAGAGAAUACCAAGGCGCUUGAGAGAACUCGGGUGAAGGAACUAGGCAAAAUGGUGCCGUAACUUCGGGAGAAGGCACGCUGGUGUGUAGGUGAAGCCCCUGCGGGUGGAGCUGAGACCAGUCGAAGAUACCAGCUGGCUGCAACUGUUUAUUAAAAACACAGCACUGUGCAAACACGAAAGUGGACGUAUACGGUGUGACGCCUGCCCGGUGCCGGAAGGUUAAUUGAUGGGGUUAUCCGUAAGGAGAAGCUCUUGAUCGAAGCCCCGGUAAACGGCGGCCGUAACUAUAACGGUCCUAAGGUAGCGAAAUUCCUUGUCGGGUAAGUUCCGACCUGCACGAAUGGCGUAAUGAUGGCCAGGCUGUCUCCACCCGAGACUCAGUGAAAUUGAACUCGCUGUGAAGAUGCAGUGUACCCGCGGCAAGACGGAAAGACCCCGUGAACCUUUACUAUAGCUUGACACUGAACAUUGAGCCUUGAUGUGUAGGAUAGGUGGGAGGCUUUGAAGCGUGGACGCCAGUCUGCGUGGAGCCAACCUUGAAAUACCACCCUUUAAUGUUUGAUGUUCUAACGUUGGCCCCUUACCGGGGUUGCGGACAGUGUCUGGUGGGUAGUUUGACUGGGGCGGUCUCCUCCCAAAGCGUAACGGAGGAGCACGAAGGUUAGCUAAUCCUGGUCGGACAUCAGGAGGUUAGUGCAAUGGCAUAAGCUAGCUUGACUGCGAGCGUGACGGCGCGAGCAGGUGCGAAAGCAGGUCAUAGUGAUCCGGUGGUUCUGAAUGGAAGGGCCAUCGCUCAACGGAUAAAAGGUACUCCGGGGAUAACAGGCUGAUACCGCCCAAGAGUUCAUAUCGACGGCGGUGUUUGGCACCUCGAUGUCGGCUCAUCACAUCCUGGGGCUGAAGUAGGUCCCAAGGGUAUGGCUGUUCGCCAUUUAAAGUGGUACGCGAGCUGGGUUUAGAACGUCGUGAGACAGUUCGGUCCCUAUCUGCCGUGGGCGCUGGAGAAUUGAGGGGGGCUGCUCCUAGUACGAGAGGACCGGAGUGGACGCAUCACUGGUGUUCGGGUUGUCAUGCCAAUGGCACUGCCCGGUAGCUAAAUGCGGAAGAGAUAAGUGCUGAAAGCAUCUAAGCACGAAACUUGCCCCGAGAUGAGUUCUCCCUGAGACUUUAAGUCUCCUGAAGGAACGUUGAAGACGACGACGUUGAUAGGCCGGGUGUGUAAGCGCAGCGAUGCGUUGAGCUAACCGGUACUAAUGAACCGUGAGGCUUAACCUU
rnacentral:rRNA from 1 species